UACAGAGGGUGCGAGCGUUAAUCGGAAUUACUGGGCGUAAAGCGCACGUAGUCGGCUUUGCAAGUCGGGUGUGAAAUCUCGGGGCUUAACUCCGAAACUGCAUUCGAUACUGCCGUGCUUGAGGACUGGAGAGGAGACUGGAAUUUACGGUGUAGCGGUGAAAUGCGUAGAUAUCGUAAGGAAGACCAGUGGCGAAGGCGGGUCUCUGGACAGUUCCUGACGCUGAGGCACGAAGGCCAGGGGAGCAAACGGG
rnacentral:rRNA from 1 species